UGGAUAUGGCGGCCUUGCCCUCUUCGUCGUCUUCCCUCAUCCAAUCCUUCCAGCAGCGGCGGCGGCGGCGGCGGCGAUCCCUCGCAGCACGGCGCGGAGAUCCUUGGGUCAGCUCCAUCGCUCGCGGUGGUGAAGAGCGUGAGAACUACAUUCACGAGCACAAACAACCUCCAGGACCUGGCCGAGCGGCGAAGCAUUGUGUGCAACAAUGCGGACUUGGAGAGAACUGAUAUGUUGGGUAAGAGAAACCUCCUCCUUUUUCUUAGAGUGAGUUUCGUGGAUUUUCGAGAGAGGGGAGCUCGCAUUCUAGGCUCCAGUUUUCGGGAGGAGAGCUAGCAUAGUUUCCUCUAGGGAGAGCUAGCAUCUUUCAUAGCUUACUUCUAGAUCCGGAGUUCUUUCGAUUAGAAGUUUGAGUAUCGGGGUCUAGUUUUUCGACGAGAACCUACUAUGUUUUUGGCGAGUAUCCAAGCCCAAGCUGCCAUCCUCGUCCUCGACUUCCAGAGGAAGUGGCCUCAGCAAGCCUUCCGGAUCUCGCCAGCGCUCAAAUCCUUCCUGGCCAAACGAGACCGAGAUGGUACGUCCUCCAGGUAUUUUUUUUCUUUUCUGGAUCGAUCCAACUCUUUUUUCGAUGGAUUGAUCUAUAGGACCAGGCGAGCGAUUUGCGCCGCCAAGCUCUGAGAAUUUUGCUCCAGUGUGAAUCCCGCUUUUCCUCAAGGAGAGAUUAAAACAAAGGUAUUCCGGGGUUUAAGAGGAAAGAGUGGAUAAAUUUUGUACAUAUGGUUUAACCUCAUCCCUUUGUUUUCUUUUUCUAGAAGGUAGAUAAAUAUCGUGAAAAAGUAAUUCGAAAAACAUGACCUAGUU